rnacentral:tRNA from 1 species
UUAGCUCAGCGGGAGAGCACUUCGUUGACAUCGAAGGGGUCACUGGUUCGAUCCCAGUAUC